UUAACCCCAAAAUAUUAUUACAAAAUUGCAUUUGCAAAAAUUAUAAAAAUAACAUGCCUAUUAAAUAUAUUAGGACAUGCCAAACAACACUUUUUAAAGUAUGCUUUUUUAAAAUAAAAAAUACUUUCAAAUCUCGAUAUAUUGGAUCCAGAGUACAUUAACAGAUCAAUAUUAUUGAAAUCCAUUAUAUAAUGAGUUCUCUCAAAUACAUCAAACGAUGCUUAAAUAGAUGAUCUUACGUUCGUGUCCAUGUCAUAUUGAAUUUAUUGAACGAGUUUAAUAAUAAUAAUAGUCUUUAUUUCAACUUGAUGACAUAUUGAGUCUAAUACUCAUCAACACAGUUUUAUCACGUGACUCGAACCCGCAACCCUUCGGUCACAAGCCCUGAGUCCUACCACUAGACAUCCGCGCCUCACAUAUCAAUAAGCCAGCUUCUCACGACUUUAACGUUAGAGCUCGUGUUGUUUUAUUUCUAGAACUAUUAUAACCAAAAGUGGUAGAUCAAGUGCUCUUAUUUCAGACACUAACGACGUCACCGAGAGGUAACACAGCCACUUAUUACUGCGUAUCAUACAUAUCUAGUAAAACAUAGGUUUUCGCUUUUAAAAGAGAAUCAAGCCAAGUGUAAAUUCAAAUGCACAGCUAGUACCCACUUAUACACACAUCAAAACAAUGUAAAUUUAGGACGUAUUUGUACUCUCGUAACAUAAUAGUGAAAAUUGAUUAAAAACAUGUGUAAGCCAUAUACCAUAAGCCAUGUACGUAUACCAAGAAGAGAUAUCUUAAUAGCGUUUACAAUAUUUCUAAGUACAUUUAUAUACUGUAAACGAACAUAUUUAAACAGUAAUACUAUAUUAGGUCUUUUCGUCCUUUUUUUUCAAAGCAUGAUGAAUUACAAUUACCAUUAUAUUGAAUUCAUGUUAUACAAAAUGUAUGUACAAUUAAUGCAUGUUCUAGACAGCUAUAACACUAAAACAUACUAGAUUCCAAAUUGUAAAUGACCACGCAUGUAGCGAGUACACUUAGAAGAGUGUAUUUUUAGUAAAUACAUCGUUUCUCACGCAAUCUUUUCACGAGUGUACACAACAGUUAGAUACCAUACUCAUUGACAUUUAAAAUGCCGGUUUAUCUCAUGUAAAAUAUUAAAACAUAUUUUGUUACCAUAAAACCUGCCGUGUUCCCUCCAUCCUGCUUUCAUCCGUUCUUUGACCACACUCCAAACAAUAAUCAAACACAGUUGUCUUGUGUCUCGUGUAUAGGAUUAGCUACAUCCCAUAAACAAAGCAUGCCUGCAUCAAUGUUAUGUAUACCAAAAACACGUAGCAGGGUCAAAAAAAUAACACUGUAACUUCUAUUUACACAUCAGUAUAGUACCAAUUACUUCAUAUUAACUUUCAUUCCGAGCGAUCAGAUGAUUCCCAAUAUGACCUCGACAUACAAACACUCUUAAAAAAAUCAAUAUUUACACUACGUAUUCUAUGGUAUGCUAAUAAUGACAUAACUUUAUGCUGUACCUCAUCCCAGAAAUUCAGUGUAUGCAAUAUUGGCACGAAUGUUGUCAGGUACUCCUUAACACUAUGUUUACGUUGUUAAAUAGACAUUAUGUUUAUGUAUUGUCGGGUACUCCUUAACACUAUGUUUUUGUUGUCAAAUAGAGAUUAUGUUUAUGUAUUGUCAGAGAUGAACGUAAUACACAAACAUCAAUUUACACUGCAUCAUAAAUACUAAUGCCUUACCUAUUGUCAUACAUGUACCAUCUUAAUGCUGUACCUAUUGU